rnacentral:rRNA from 2 species
UACGUAGGGGGCGAGCGUUGUCCGGAAUUAUUGGGCGUAAAGAGCUCGUAGGCGGUCUUUUAAGUCGGGUGUGAAAUCUCAGGGCUCAACUCUGAAACUGCACCCGAUACUGGAUGACUUGAGGCAGGUAGGGGAGAUCGGAAUUCCUGGUGUAGCGGUGAAAUGCGCAGAUAUCAGGAGGAACACCGGUGGCGAAGGCGGAUCUCUGGGCCUGUUCUGACGCUGAGGAGCGAAAGCGUGGGGAGCAAACAGG